ACGAACGCUGGCGGCGUGCCUAAUACAUGCAAGUUGAGCGCUGAAGGUUGGUACUUGUACCAACUGGAUGAGCAGCGAACGGGUGAGUAACGCGUGGGGAAUCUGCCUUUGAGCGGGGGACAACAUUUGGAAACGAAUGCUAAUACCGCAUAAAAACUUUAAACACAAGUUUUAAGUUUGAAAGAUGCAAUUGCAUCACUCAAAGACGAUCCCGCGUUGUAUUAGCUAGUUGGUGAGGUAAAGGCUCACCAAGGCGAUGAUACAUAGCCGACCUGAGAGGGUGAUCGGCCACAUUGGGACUGAGACACGGCCCAAACUCCUACGGGAGGCAGCAGUAGGGAAUCUUCGGCAAUGGACGAAAGUCUGACCGAGCAACGCCGCGUGAGUGAAGAAGGUUUUCGGAUCGUAAAACUCUGUUGGUAGAGAAGAACGUUGGUGAGAGUGGAAAGCUCAUCAAGUGACGGUAACUACCCAGAAAGGGACGGCUAACUACGUG
rnacentral:rRNA from 1 species